rnacentral:rRNA from 1 species
ACUGCCGGUGUAAACCGAGAGGAAGGUGGGGAUGACGUCAAAUCAGCACGGCCCUUAUGUCCAGGGCUACACACGUGUUACAAUGGUCGAUACAAUGGGCAGCUACCUGGUGACAGGAUGCUAAUCUCCAAAGUCGAUCUCAGUUCGGAUCGAAGUCUGCAACUCGACUUCGUGAAGUUGGAUUCGCUAGUAAUCGUAUAUCAGCAAUGAUACGGUGAAUACGUUCCCGGGCCUUGUACACACCGCCCGUCAAACCAUGGAAGCUGGGGGUGCCUGAAGUACGUUACCGCAAGGAGCGUCCUAGGGUAAAACUAGUGACUGGGGUUAAGUCGUAACAAGGUAGCCGUACCGGAAGGUGUGGCUGGAACACCUCCUUU